rnacentral:lncRNA from 1 species
CUCUGUAUUAGGUAUCGUAUGCUCUGUAUAAGGUGACGGGGGCAGGGUACAGGCUGUGGGAGGGACACGCUGGGGAGGCUGUGAGUUUUACAGGAAAUAGACUAAGGAGGAAGUUUAAAAAAAAAAAGCAGAAAUUGACAUCAAGAGAGAUUGAAAGAGACAUCCUUUGACAGAGAGACAUUAAAAGAGAGACCCUGGCAGAUAGCUAAAGAGACAGAGCGAGAGAUACAGACAUCCUGAUACAUAGAAAGCAACAUCAGUGACAGAGGGAGGGAAGAAACACACAGAGAUAUCCAGAGACUGUAAGAGAGACACCCUAUGGGAGAGACUGGUUAUAGAGACGGUUAAAAGGACAGACAGGUAAGUGGCAAUCUCAGAGAAUAGAGAUAGAGGUAACAGCCAGCUUCAGAAGGGGCAGGAGAGACACGUGAGACAGACAAGCUAGGAGGAGAGACACAGGAGACGGGCUCAGGUGGGACAGACAAGUUAGGAGGAGAGACACAGGAGACGGGCUCAGGUGGGACAGACAAGUUAGGAGGAGAGACACAGGAGACGGGCUCAGGUGGGACAUACAAAUUAGGAGGAGAGACACAGGAGACGGGCUCAGGUGGGACAUACAAAUUAGGAGGAGAGACACAGGAGACGGGCUCAGGUGGGACAUACAAAUUAGGAGGAGAGACACAGGAGACGGGCUCAGGUGGGACAGACAAGUUAGGAGGAGAGACACAGGAGACAGGCUCAGGUGGGACAGACAAGUUAGGAGGAGAGACACAGAAGACGGGCUCAGGUGGGACAGACAAGUUAGGAGGAGAGACACAGGAGACGGGCUCAGGUGGGACAGACUAGUUAGGAGGAGAGACAUAGACGGGCUCAGGUGGGACAGACAAGUUAGGAGGAGAGACACAGGAGACAGGCUCAGGUAGGUUAGGAGUAGAGAGACAGACAGGAGGCAGCAGAGACGGGAUCAGAGAAGAGGUAUGUGAGGGUUCUGGGGAGACUUACAGACAUUUCAUUUUUGAUGGGAACAUAUCGUAGUCGGAUCUGAUCAAAUCUCUCGGAAAAGAGACCGUCUGAGGACGACUUGGGGGCAUAAUGCCAGGGACAGAUAAACCCAUAAAAGAGGGACCGCUUCAUGUCAAACAGAACAAGUUUGGAAAG